rnacentral:lncRNA from 1 species
GGCCCGGCGGCGGCUGCGGCUGCGGUACCGGCCGCGGGCGGGCGGGGAGGGGGCGCGGGCCGGGCCCGAGUCUCUUUCUUUAAAGUGUUGAGUGCGGGCGAGCGGCGAUUGCGAAACUCUCCGCGCGCUGCUCCCGCCCCCUCUUCGCCCGCCCGCCAAUGGGCGGCGACGCUCCCGCAGGGGCAUGAUGCAAUGCCCGCCCGGAUUGGCAGCGGGCGCGGCCAAUCAGGCGUCCGUCAACACGCUUAAAGGGCGAGGCCGUGUUUUCUGYGGGAGGCCGCGCGCCCCGCGGGGGUGGGCAUGGCGGUGGCGGCCCGGCCCCGCGGGGAAGGCCCUGGCACUCCUCCCCGUCUCACCCCACCCCGGGGCGGGGGAGAAGCCGCGUGCCGCGGCGGGGCCGCGAGGCUGCCGAGAGCCGGGGGAGGCGGCGGGUGGGAGCGGGGCGCGGGCCGCUGGGAGGCCUCCGCUCCCCUCGGGCUGGCGGGCGGCAGCGAGAUGCCGCUGUCCCGGGCCCGGGCGGAGGCGGCGGCGCGGCCGCUGGGCCGCGGUGGCUCCUCCAGGAAGGCGCCGGCGGGAGCCGAGCCCCGGUGUCCCGUUUUCUUUUUCAGAAGCUUCACCCACGCACCCAAAAGGGGCUGUAAAUAGGGAGUUGAAACUUACGUUUUCUCUGAUGGUGACUCAUCCAUCUGUAACUAGAGCAAAAAUUCCAGAAAAGAAAGGAAGUGCUUAUUGCAGCAGUGCCGUCCUCCUCCCAGAAAGUUGA